ensembl:lncRNA
GACCACUGUCUGUGUGGAGCCUUCUCUCUGGUUUUGAUGGACUUUUCUCUGGGUUUUCUGGUUUCCUUCCACAUUCCAGAGAUGUGGACAUUAGGUGAACUGGUGCAUCAACAUUGUCCCUGUGUGAGCGAGUGUGAGUGUGAGUGUGAGUGAACCCCUCGAUGGUUUACUGUCCUGUCUGUCUCUCUCUCCCACCUUGCACUCUGAGCUGCUGGGAUAGGCUCUGGCUAAUCACGACCCUGAACUGGAAUAAUUGGAAGUCAUCGGAAAAUCCUUCCAGUCACAUUGAAGGUUGUAAAUCACAUGUCAAGAUGAAGUGGAUCCUGGCAGGUGGGAUAAGGCCGACUCUCUCUGGAACAGCAAGAAGGUCCUCACCAGAUGCCAGACCCUCAGCCUUGGACUUGGACUUCUCAACUCCCAGAACUACAGAAUCUGAACUAUCUUUUAACACGGGCAAAUGCAAUGUAUUAUCAACGGUCACAGCUGCUCUUUAUAAUGAAGAGAGUUCUCCUCCGCCCAGGCCCUUGGCUAUAAUACCUGGUAUUGGAAAGAACCAAAAUGCCUUUUUUUCAUGUUAAAUGACAUGUUUAUUUUCCUGUAAUAAAAAUAAUGACUCAAGUAAGUCCUACAAAUGUUUGUUUUCCCUUAACACAUGAAUUCUUUGGCACCUGUGA